ensembl:miRNA Gm55904 predicted gene, 22201
GCCCUUCGCCCGUGCACCUCGGGGCGGGAGACCCCGCGGGACGAGCUGAGGUGGGGGGG